CUGUACAUUCAGAGUUUGAUCCUGGCUCAGGAUGAACGCUGGCGGCGUGCAUAACACAUUCAAGUCGAACGGUGAAGUCCCUUCGGGGAUGGAACAGUGGCGGACGGGUGAGUAACGCGUGAGCAACCUGCCUACGAUAGGGGGAUAACACAGGGAAACUUGUGCUAAUACCGCAUAACACACAGACCUCGCAUGGGGAUUGUGUCAAAGAUACGUCGAUCGUAGAUGGGCUCGCGUUGGAUUAGAUAGUUGGUGAGGUAACGGCCCACCAAGUCUGCGAUCCAUAGCCGAACUGAGAGGUUGAACGGCCACAUUGGAACUGAGAAACGGUCCAG
rnacentral:rRNA from 1 species